GUGUCAGCAGCCGCGGUAAUACGUAGGAGGCAAGCGUUGUCCGGAGUUACUGGGCGUAAAGCGCACGCAGGCGGUCUUGUCAGUCUGUAGGGACAGGGCACAGCUCAACUGUGUCAGGCUUAUGGAAACUGCAAGACUUGAGGGCUUCAGAGGGAUGGGGAAUUCCGGGUGGAGUGGUGAAAUGCGUAGAGAUCCGGAAGAACACCAAAGGCGAAGGCACCAUCCUGGGGAGUCACUGACGCUCGGGUGCGAAAGCUAGGGGAGCGAACGGGAUUAGAUACCCCGGUAGUCC
rnacentral:rRNA from 1 species